rnacentral:rRNA from 1 species
UACGUAGGGGGCAAGCGUUGUCCGGAUUUAUUGGGCGUAAAGAGCGUGUAGGCGGCUUUACAGGUCCGUUGUGAAAACUCGAGGCUCAACCUCGAGACGCCGGUGGAAACCGUAAGGCUAGAGUCCGGAAGAGGAGAGUGGAAUUCCUGGUGUAGCGGUGAAAUGCGUAGAUAUCAGGAGGAACACCGGUGGUGUAGACGGCUCUCUGGACCGUAACUGACGCUGAGACACGAAAGCGUGGGUAGCAAACAGG